GUACUGCCGAAGAGUCCCAAACUAAGACGAAACAGCUGUCCAGUAC
rnacentral:hammerhead_ribozyme from 1 species